UAUUGCCUAUGGGAGGCAGCAGUAGGGGAUCUUCCACAAUGGGCGAAAGCCUGAUGGAGCAACGCCUCGUUGGUGACGCAGGUCUUCGGAUCGUAAAACCCUGUUGUUAGAGAAGAAAGUGCGUGAGAGUAACUGUUCACGUUUCGACGGUAUCUAACCAGAAAGCCACGGCUAACUACGUGCCAGCAGCCGCGGUAAUACGUAGGUGGCAAGCGUUAUCCGGAUUUAUUGGGCGUAAAGGGAACGCAGGCGGUCUUUUAAGUCUGAU
rnacentral:rRNA from 1 species